rnacentral:rRNA from 1 species
GUGGGGAAUAUUGGGCAAUGGGCGCAAGCCUGACCCAGCAACGCCGCGUGAAGGAAGAAGGCUUUCGGGUUGUAAACUUCUUUUAAGGGGGAAGAGUAGAAGACGGUACCCCUAGAAUAAGCCACGGCUAACUACGUGCCAGCAGCCGCGGUAAUACGUAGGUGGCAAGCGUUGUCCGGAUUUACUGGGUGUAAAGGGCGUGUAGCCGGGUCUGCAAGUCAGAUGUGAAAUCCAUGGGCUUAACCCAUGAACUGCAUUUGAAACUGUGGAUCUUGAGUGCUGGAGGGGCAAUCGGAAUUCCUAGUGUAGCGGUGAAAUGCGUAGAUAUUAGGAGGAACACCAGUGGCGAAGGCGGAUUGCUGGACAGUAACUGACGGUGAGGCGCGAAAGUGUGGGGAGCAAACAGGAUUAGAAACCCGAGUAGUCC